CUGUGUUUAUAUAUACAUGCACUGUAUAGGUUUGAUUAAGCCAAGAAAUACGAAAACUCUUUCUCCCAAGUCUCUCUCUCUCUUCUCCCUCUCUCUCCAGCUAUUCUCCAUGCCCCAGGAGUAAGAAACCCUAGGGUUUCUUGCCGCCAGGUCCCAAGAAGGUAGGAGAAGCAAGGGAAGGUGCUAGAGUUUUGAGCCCCCUCCCCCUUUGUGCCGCCAACCCUUUUGUC
rnacentral:lncRNA from 1 species